GCUGGGUGUGGUGGCGCAUGCCUGUAGUCCCAGCUACUUGCGAGGCUGAGGCAGAAGAAUCACUUGCACCUGGGAGCUGGAGGGUGCAGUGAGCCGAGAUCGCGCCACUGCACUCCAGCCUGGGUGACAGAGUGAGACUCCGUCUCAA
ensembl:misc_RNA Metazoa_SRP Metazoan signal recognition particle RNA